AACGGCCAAUUCUUCAUCUGAAAAUCAAUCAGAACAAUCUAACGCAUCACACACUCGAGUACAACCUCGACAAGCUUUCCAAAGUCACAAUAGGACAGCAACCACAUCAUCUGUUUCUCAACACUUGAACAAGCUGCCAGAACGCCUCAGCCUCAAAGAAAUCAAGAUCCUCCAAUUAUAGAGCAUGAAUUCACUGAAAUUAUUGGAGAAAGAAGGGAAAUCUCCAGAUAGACUUACUUUUUUCGACGUCACUCAUAAAACGAAGAUGGAACUUAUGUGGAUGACAAUAUUAAAAAACUAAUGGAUAAAGCAUCUGCUCUUCAAGCCGAACGUAGUCAAAAUUCGAACAAUAAUAUAACUGAAGUUAAUGAAAAAAUAUUUCAAAAAGUGAUGGGUAAAGAGCACAAUGGUCGUGUGAGGGGUUUAGGUUUGGGGCCAACACCUAGAAAUUAUUUUGGAGCAACAUCGUAUAAUGUGGCAGAAAAAUGGAAAUCUUCUACAAGUUCAAGUCAAUCAAAUGAAGUGGCAGCACUUAAAAAAACACUUCAAGAGAUGACAUCUAAGUAUGAAGAAGUAAGCAAAAAUUAUGAAGUUUUUAUGAAUUGAUCAUGAAGAUGUAUCUCAAACACUAUUUGCUUUGGCGAAUUUUGUAUCUGAAAAGUUCCCCGGACAACAUUGGAUGCCAUCACAAGUGAACAAAAAUCAGUUUAGUGAUCGGGGUAGUGGUGGGAAUGUGCAACAUGAUGUUUCAUCUCGUUCAAGUCAAGGUUAAUGUUUAUGGAGCCUCUGUCAGUAAGGGAGAUGAAUAUAGGUAUUCGGGAUUGAAUGAGAUUGUUUGAACAAUCAGAUCAGCUUAAAGAUUUUGAGAAGGCAAAGGGCCAAAAGAUGAUAGAAAAUGAAGAAAUAUAUUAGCUUAAAUGUGUAAAUCUUGAUAUUUUUAGUUUUGAUAUCUUUGAAACAAUACAGUCUAAUACUAGCUAGUCUCCUACUUAGUUCAAUUGAUGAUGCUAAUUUGAA